rnacentral:rRNA from 1 species
CUACGGGGUGCUGCAGUGGGGAAUAUUGCACAAUGGACGAAAGUCUGAUGCAGCAACGCCGCGUGGAGGAUGACACAUUUCGGUGCGUAAACUCCUUUUAUAUAAGAAGAUAAUGACGGUAUUAUAUGAAUAAGCACCGGCUAACUCCGUGCCAGCAGCCGCGGUAAUACGGGGGGUGCAAGCGUUACUCGGAAUCACUGGGCGUAAAGCGCAUGUAGGCGGACUUGUAAGUUGGAAGUGAAAUCCUAUGGCUCAACCAUAGAACUGCUUCCAAAACUGCUUGUCUAGAAUAUGGGAGAGGUAGAUGGAAUUUCUGGUGUAGGGGUAAAAUCCGUAGAGAUCAGAAGGAAUACCGAUUGCGAAGGCGAUCUACUGGAACAUUAUUGACGCUCAGAUGCGAAAGCGUGGGGAGCAAACAGGAUUAGAUACCCGGGUAGUC